GAAUGACGCACGCGUGUUUACAGUUGUCCUAGCUACCCGGGUUUUAAUGUAAUGUUGAGGCUCUGCAGCAAAACAUGCUAAAUGUUAAAUACACCCGAAAAUAUUGACAUAUGGUUGAAUAAUGAAAAUACUGGAAGUUUUGCUUUGAUUAAGUAUACUUAUAUAAACACCCACCAAUACACACACACACACAUAUAUAUAAAUACUUAGAAAUACUGAAGUCCUGAUGUGACCACACUCCUACCCUUUAAGUUAACCAAGAUGAUGAUGAGUAAAUUUUGUAUCCAACUGGUAAUGUAUUCAGGAGAACAGCCAGUUUCUUUUUGGUGACCUGUUCUAUACUUCUCAAACUAUUAAUUCAUAUUUAAGGUUAGGAUGGAUAGCAACUCAGAUGACCAAGGGAAGCAUUCCGGAAUUAGGGUUUUUAAGAAGAGCUCACCAAAUGGGAAGAUUACUGUGUACCUAGGGAAAAGGGACUUUGUUGACCACUUUACUUAUGUUGAACCAAUAGAUGGAGUGGUUCUGGUAGAUCCAGAAUAUGUGAAAGAUCGACGAGUUUUUGGCCAUGUUCUUGCUGCAUUUCGCUAUGGUCAUGAAGACUUAGAUGUUUUUGGGUUGAUAUUUCGAAAAGAUCUGUAUCUUGCAUCAGAUCAGCUCUAUCCUCCCUUGUCUAACCCUGACAAAACGCGAUCGUUGACACGUAUUCAGGAACGACUUCUCAAGAAACUGGGGCCAAAUGCACAUCCAUUUUAUUUUGAGCUUCCCCCUCAUUGCCCGGCAUCAGUCACACUACAGCCUGCAAUAGGUGACACUGAAAAACCAUGUGGUGUUGACUAUGAACUGAAAGCUUAUAUUGCAAAUACAACUGAGGAAAAAACUCAUAAAAGGAACUCUGUGAGGCUAACUAUACGAAAGGUGAUGUAUGCACCAAGCAAACAAGGAGAACAGCCAAAUGUUGAAGUCAGUAAAGAAUUUAUGAUGUCCCCUAACAAACUACAUCUAGAAACAUCACUGGACAAAGAGCUCUAUCAUCAUGGAGAAGAAAUUGCAGUCAAUGUUCACAUAGCUAACAAUUCAAAUAGGACAGUAAAAAAGGUAAAAGUAUCAGUUCUUCAGUUUGCUGAUAUCUGCCUGUUUUCUACGGCACAGUAUAAGUGCAAUGUAGCAUCAUUGGAGAGUGAAGAUGGUUGUCCUGUGGGGCCUGGGUUUACAUUAUCUAAAGUAUACUAUUUGAAGCCUCUGCUAGCUAAUAACAAAGACAAACGUGGUCUAGCAUUGGAUGGACAGUUAAAAGAUGAGGACACAAAUCUAGCUUCUUCCACCAUCAUAACAGACCCUUCCCAAAAAGAAAACUUGGGAAUUAUAGUGCAGUACAAGGUGAAAGUAAAGUUAUGUCUAGGACCUCUUGGAGGUGAUGUAGUGGCAGAACUUCCCUUUAUUUUGAUGCAUGCAAAUCCUGAAGAGACAGAAGAUGAACAAUUAAGGCGACAACCUACACCAGUAAAGAGUGAAGAAGAAUUUGAGGUUCCAGUUGAUGACAACUUGAUUCAACUUGAUGUGUAAAUAUCCGUAUUUUCAGAUAGCCAAUAAUAUCUUGAAACACACAGUAAUAUGGCUCCUGUAAUAAAUAUCUGAAUACGCUAGAAUGAUAAGACUGCUUGUGAGGUAGAAGCCUAAUUAUCAGUCUUUCAGAUGGAAUCCUUAAUAACAAAUAUUAGCUGGUUAAAAUUGUUAAUUAGCAAGUUUCCACAAAGUUCUUUUUCAAAUUGACAGAUGAUAAAUAAUGAAGGUUUUCAUUAAAACAAAACAAAAAACAUCAAAUACUGUGUGUUGACUCACAUAUAAGUGAAUUGAAACAACAACAACAUUUUACAGUUCACUACCAAUUAGUUAUGCCUUUUAAGCAAUUGGCACAGUAAUUCUAAAUCUCAGGUACCUUAACUACGUAAUCAUGAUUCCAGGUUGGACCUAUUCAGGUUGUGUAAACAUAGAUACAGAUCUAAGCAUAUGAUAUGCAACUUAAGGCAAUUUCUGAAACACUAAACCCACUUCAAAAUAAUCUGAUUUCUGAUGCUAUAUAUUCACUGAAGAUUGGUAUUACAAACUGAUCUCUAAUGCUGUUUUUCCAAUAACAUUCUUCAACUGAAAUUACUUAAAGUGCAAUUAUUAGACCUAUGUUCCUUUAGACUAAUAAUAAAAUAACACAAAUAAUGACAAAAUUUAUGCCAAGAUUGUUAACACUUUAUUACAAAAAAAAAUAUUUACGACAUAAAACAAAACAUUGUUCAAGGUAUUUCUAAUAAAAGGAAGUAUAGGUGUCUAAACAGAAGGCUUGAUUCAACUUUGUUUCAGGUCUCUUUUUUUUUUUUUAAGUACUGUAGUGCUGACUUGAAUAACUAAGUCAUAAUAUGUCAAUUAAAAAAUGUCAGUAAGCCCCAGGUGCUCACAGUACGUGAAUUUAAACAAUGAAAAUUAGCUCCAGGAAAUGUAUUCUAUUUGAAACUGAUGUUUUGGCUUAUUCCUUUGACUGUUUUCAAUAAAAACUUUUCCUGGAGUUUAUUUUCAUUAUUUACUUCAUAUACUUUCAUAUUAAGGGAUAUUUUGAUCCAAAAUUAAAUGGUCUAACCUAAUUCUUCAACAAAGUUUCAAUUUACAAAACAUGGUGUAAGAAAUACCACAACUCAAAGAUACCAAAGUAUAUCAGAUGUUAGCAGCAGCAAGAGGCAACACAGUUUACCAGAUGAUCAGGGUUAACUGAAGCUUAAAUUGGAAACAUAGUUAUUAUUGAUAGUGCUACUUAGGCAAUAUCUGAAGGAUCUAGGUUAAAACACAGAUGAAAUAAAACUUCUUUUUUGCAGUGAACUCCAUCUUUUAUAAUAAAUUCCCAUAUCUAUAAGUUUCACAGUUUACCAGAUGUGGACUGUUAACAGGAACAGUAGAUACCACAGUUUACCACUGUAACAGGGAAGGUGUCAACUGCACAGAUGCUCAAGAUGAUGAUCUCAUUUUUGAAGAUUUUGCUAGAUCUAGACUCAGAAGGGAAACUGAAAC
rnacentral:misc_RNA from 1 species